rnacentral:rRNA from 1 species
CCUACGGGGGGCAGCAGUGGGGGAUAUUGCACAAUGGGGGGAACCCUGAUGCAGCGACGCCGCGUGGGUGAAGAAGCGCCUCGGCGCGUAAAGCCCUGUCAGCAGGGAAGAAAAUGACGGUACCUGAAGAAAAAGCAUCGGCUAACUCCGUGCCAGCAGCCGCGGUAAUACGGAGGAUGCGAGCGUUAUCCGGAUUUAUUGGGUUUAAAGGGUGCGCAGGCGGCGAUGCAAGCCAGGAGUGAAAGCCCGGGGCCCAACCCCGGGACUGCUCUUGGAACUGCGUGGCGGGAGUGCAGGAGGGGCAGGCGGAAUUCCUGGUGUAGCGGUGAAAUGCGUAGAUAUCAGGAGGAACACCGGUGGCGAAGGCGGCCUGCUGGACUGCAACUGACGUUGAGGCCCGAAAGCGUGGGGAGCAAACAGGAUUAGAUACCCCGGUAGUC